rnacentral:rRNA from 1 species
GAUGAACGCUGGCGGCGUGCCUAAUACAUGCAAGUCGAGCGAACAGACGAGGAGCUUGCUCCUCUGACGUUAGCGGCGGACGGGUGAGUAACACGUGGAUAACCUACCUAUAAGACUGGGAUAACUUCGGGAAACCGGAGCUAAUACCGGAUAAUAUAUUGAACCGCAUGGUUCAACAGUGAAAGACGGUUUUGCUGUCACUUAUAGAUGGAUCCGCGCCGCAUUAGCUAGUUGGUAAGGUAACAGCUUACCAAGGCAACGAUGCGUAGCCGACCUGAGAGGGUGAUCGGCCACACUGGAACUGAGACACGGUCCAGACUCCUACGGGAGGCAGCAGUAGGGAAUCUUCCGCAAUGGGCGAAAGCCUGACGGAGCAACGCCGCGUGAGUGAUGAAGGUCUUCGGAUCGUAAAACUCUGUUAUUAGGGAAGAACAAAUGUGUAAGUAACUAUGCACGUCUUGACGGUACCUAAUCAGAAAGCCACGGCUAACUACGUG